rnacentral:rRNA from 1 species
UACGUAGGUGGCAAGCGUUGUUCGGAAUUAUUGGGCGUAAAGGGCGCGUAGGCGGUUUGUCGCGUCGGGAGUGAAAACACCGGGCUUAACUCGGUGCUUGCUUUCGAUACGGGCAGACUAGAGGUAUGCAGGGGAGAACGGAAUUCCUGGUGUAGCGGUGAAAUGCGCAGAUAUCAGGAGGAACACCGGUGGCGAAGGCGGUUCUCUGGGCAUUACCUGACGCUGAGGAGCGAAAGUGUGGGGAGCGAACAGG